rnacentral:rRNA from 1 species
UUAAGUCCCGCAACGAGCGCAACCCUUGUCGUUCAGUUACUACCAUUAAGUUAUUGAGGACUCUAGCGAGACUGCCUGGGUUAACCAGGAGGAAGGUGGGGAUGACGUCAAAUCAUCAUGCCCCUUAUGUGUAGGGCUACACACGUGCUACAAUGGCUGGUACAGAGAGAUGCAAUACCGCGAGGCGGAGCCAAACUUAAAACCGAGUCUCAGUUCGGAUUGUAGGCUGAAACUCGCCUACAUGAAGCUGGAGUUACUAGUAAUCGCGAAUCAGAAUGUCGCGGUGAAUACGUUCCCGGGUCUUGUACACACCGCCCGUCACACCAUGAGAGUUGGC